GUUUCCACUCUCUCUCACAACUUUAAAACUCUUUCCCAGAAAGAAAAAAACAGAAAAGAAAAGAGAAUUUCAUAGCUCACAAGGCACAACCUUUUUCACCGAAAUAACUCUGUUUCUUUCUGGGUAAAUGGAGAGACACAGGUGUAAGAUUUGCUUCAAGAUCUUUUCUAAUGGAAGAGCUUUGGGUGGUCACAUGAGGUCUCAUAUGUUAAAUCUUCCAAUUCCUCCAAGACCAGAAGAAGAAGAAGAAGA
rnacentral:misc_RNA from 1 species